AUCGCUUCUCGGCCUUUUGGCUAAGAUCAAGUGUAGUAUCUGUUCUUAUCAGUUUAAUAUCUGAUACGUCCCCAUCCGGGGACUACAUAUUAAAUGGAUUUUUAGAUCACGGAGCUGGAGCCGGGGCUUGCUCCGUCCUCCAUGCAUCGGCCUGGUAUUGCAGUGUCUCCAGGAACGGUGUGCUUUCC
rnacentral:snRNA from 1 species